rnacentral:rRNA from 1 species
CCUACGGGGUGCAGCAGUGGGGAAUAUUGGACAAUGGGCGAAAGCCUGAUCCAGCCAUGCCGCGUGUGUGAAGAAGGCCUUCGGGUUGUAAAGCACUUUCAGUGGGGAAGAAAGCCUUGGGGCUAAUACCCUCGAGGAAGGACAUCACCCACAGAAGAAGCACCGGCUAACUCCGUGCCAACAGCCGCGGUAAUACGGAGGGUGCGAGCGUUAAUCGGAAUUACUGGGCGUAAAGCGCGCGUAGGCGGUCUGAUAAGCCGGUUGUGAAAGCCCCGGGCUCAACCUGGGAACGGCAUCCGGAACUGUCAGGCUAGAGUGCAGGAGAGGAAGGUAGAAUUCCCGGUGUAGCGGUGAAAUGCGUAGAGAUCGGGAGGAAUACCAGUGGCGAAGGCGGCCUUCUGGACUGACACUGACGCUGAGGUGCGAAAGCGUGGGUAGCAAACAGGAUUAGAUACCCUAGUAGUC